rnacentral:rRNA from 1 species
CAGCCGCCGCGGUAAUACGUAGGUCCCGAGCGUUGUCCGGAUUUAUUGGGCGUAAAGCGAGCGCAGGCGGUUAGAUAAGUCUGAAGUUAAAAGCUGUGGCUUAACCAUAGUACGCUUUGGAAACUGUUUAACUUGAGUGCAAGAGGGGAGAGUGGAAUUCCAUGUGUAGCGGUGAAAUGCGUAGAUAUAUGGAGGAACACCGGCGGCGAAAGCGGCUCUCUGGCUUGUAACUGACGCUGAGGCUCGAAAGCGUGGGGAGCAAACAGGAUUAGAUACCCCCGUAGUCCCUGUCUCUUAUACA